CAUGCGAGUCGAACGAAGCUUUUCAUUCGUGGAAAACUUAGUGGCGGACGGGUGAGUAACGCGUGGGUAACCUGCCCUGUACAGGGGGACAACAGCUGGAAACGGCUGCUAAUACCGCAUAAGCCCUUAGCACUGCAUGGUGCAUAGGGAAAAGGAGCAAUCCGGUACAGGAUGGACCCGCGUCUGAUUAGCCAGUUGGCAGGGUAAUGGCCUACCAAAGCGACGAUCAGUAGCCGAUCUGAGAGGAUGUACGGCCACAUUGGGACUGAGACACGGCCCAGACUCCUACGGGAGGCAGCAGUGGGGAAUAUUGCACAAUGGAGGAAACUCUGAUGCAGCGACGCCGCGUGAGUGAAGAAGUAUUUCGGUAUGUAAAGCUCUAUCAGCAGGGAAGAAAAUGACGGUACCUGACUAAGAAGCACCGGCUAAAUACGUGCCAGCAGCCGCGGUAAUACGUAUGGUGCAAGCGUUAUCCGGAUUUACUGGGUGUAAAGGGAGCGUAGGUGGCAAGGCAAGCCAGAAGUGAAAACCCGGGGCUCAACCGCGGGAUUGCUUUUGGAACUGUCAUGCUAGAGUGCAGGAGGGGUGAGCGGAAUUCCUAGUGUAGCGGUGAAAUGCGUAGAUAUUAGGAGGAACACCAGAGGCGAAGGCGGCUCACUGGACUGUAACUGACACUGAGGCUCGAAAGCGUGGGGAGCAAACAGGAUUAGAUACCCUGGUAGUCCACGCGGUAAACGAUGAAUACUAGAUGUCGGG
rnacentral:rRNA from 1 species